ACGGGUGAGUAACACGUGGGAAUCUGCCUAUUAGUGGGGGACAGCCCAGCGAAAGCUGGAUUAAUACCGCAUACGCCCUACGGGGGAAAGCAGCAAUGCGCUAAUAGAUGAGCCCGCGUAAGAUUAGCUAGUUGGUAAGGUAAAGGCUUACCAAGGCGACGAUCUUUAGCUGGUCUGAGAGGAUGGCCAGCCACAUCGGGACUGAGACACGGCCCGGACUCCUACGGGAGGCAGCAGUCGGGAAUAUUGGACAAUGGGCGCAAGCCUGAUCCAGCAAUACCGCGUGUGUGAAGAAGGCCUGCGGGUUGUAAAGCACUUUCAGUUGGGAAGAUAAUGGCGUUACCAACAGAAGAAGCACCGGCUAACUCCGUG
rnacentral:rRNA from 1 species